UCGAAUAAAUGCAAAAAGGGUCCCGCCUAAAUAAGAAAAACAAAAAGGAGAAAAAGAAAGAUGAGGAACAGACUCAAAGGUCUGGAGAUGGUGGCAUUGGUGAACCAGAGAGAUGAUGGCAUCAUCUGAACUGAUCUAUUUUUAGAACAAGUUUCUUCAUGCCUGCUGUCCUUUCCGCAAGUGUGUAUUUCUGCUUAGCUGUAAGAUUCUCUGGUGUACAGCUCUUGCACAUUUCGUA
rnacentral:lncRNA from 1 species